UACGAAGGGGGCUAGCGUUGCUCGGAAUGACUGGGCGUAAAGGGCGCGUAGGCGGCUUGCACCGCCAGAUGUGAAAUUCCUGGGCUUAACCUGGGGGCUGCAUUUGAUACGUGUGGGCUUGAGUGCGGAAGAGGGUCGUGGAAUUCCCAGUGUAGAGGUGAAAUUCGUAGAUAUUGGGAAGAACACCGGUGGCGAAGGCGGCGACCUGGUCCGUGACUGACGCCGAGGCGCGAAAGCGUGGGGAGCGAACAGG
rnacentral:rRNA from 1 species